UUGGUGGGGUAACGGCCCACCAAGGCGACGAUCGGUAGCCGAACUGAGAGGUUGAUCGGCCGCAUUGGGACUGAGACACGGCCCAGACUCCUACGGGAGGCAGCAGUGGGGGAUAUUGCACAAUGGAGGAAACUCUGAUGCAGCAACGCCGCGUGAGGGAAGAAGGUCUUCGGAUUGUAAACCUUAGUAGUCAGGGACGAAAAAAAUGACGGUACCUGAAGAGUAAGCUCCGGCUAACUACGUGCCAGCAGCCGCGGUAAUACGUAGGGAGCGAGCGUUGUCCGGAUUUACUGGGUGUAAAGGGUGCGUAGGCGGGACUGCAAGUCAGGCGUGAAAUACCGGGGCUUAACUCCGGGGCUGCGCUUGAAACUGCGGUUCUUGAGUGAAGUAGAGGCAGGCGGAAUUCCUAGUGUAGCGGUGAAAUGCGUAGAUAUUAGGAGGAACACCAGUGGCGAAGGCGGCCUGCUGGGCUUUAACUGACGCUGAGGCACGAAAGCAUGGGGAGCAAACAGGAUUAGAUACCCUGGUAGUCCAUGCCGUAAACGAUGAUUGCUAGGUGUGGGGGGACUGACCCCUUCCGU
rnacentral:rRNA from 1 species